UUCUCACACGCUGCUUGUGGAGUCCAGGCCGCAGAGACUGCGUGUUAGGUUAACUCGCCAAAAUGACCAACACAAAGGGAAAGAGGAGAGGCACUCGGUAUAUGUUCUCUAGGCCUUUUAGGAAACAUGGAGUUGUUCCUUUGGCCACAUACAUGCGAAUCUAUAAGAAGGGUGAUAUUGUAGACAUCAAGGUAAGUUUGUAUGGAGGAAUAAGCACCACAAGUUAGGAAUGGUGAUUUAGCCGGGCGUUGGUGGCGCACGCCUUUAAUCCCAGCACUUGGGAGGCAGAGGCAGGCGGAUUUCUGAGUUCGAGGCCAGCCUGGUCUACAGAGUGAGUUCCAGGACAGCCAGGGCUAUACAGAGAAACCUUGUCUCGAAAAACCAAAAAAAAAAAAAAAGGGAAUGGUGAUUUAAUUACUUGAAGUUAAUAGUAGGGGUAAAAAGAUGCCGUUAAAUGUAUGUUAUUAGAAAUUGAGAGUGCUGGCUCAUGCCUUUAAGCCUGGCAUUCAGGAUACAAAGGCAGGAAGAUUUCUUGAGUUCAAGACCAGCUGGGGUUAUACAGUUAGACCCCUGUGUCAAAAGACAAAAUUUGUUAUUAAAGAUGCAAGUUUUAGGAAAACCCCAGUGGGUUUGAUGGUUAGUUGAAUAUUCUGGCGCUCUGGAACUUGAUGAUGACUGUCUAUUUGAUUGCUUGAUGCAGUGUGAAAACCACAUUUCACCGGCUCUGAGAGUUCCUGAGUUGACCUUGAAAGGGAGCCUUGGUUAGUUCAAUGAUUUGAAAAGAGAAAUUUCUGGAAUAAUACUUUGUCUGUUGACUAGGGAAUGGGUACUGUUCAAAAAGGAAUGCCCCAUAAGUGUUACCACGGCAAAACCGGAAGAGUCUACAAUGUCACCCAGCAUGCCGUGGGCAUCAUUGUAAACAAGCAAGUUAAGUGAGUACAACACCUUUCUCUUAAGUAAUCUGUUGCACACCCCCUUUCACUUUGCCAAUUGGACUUAAUGUCUUCAUUGGCCAUUCAAGUGGGGCAAAGGAAAUAACCUUUUAAAACUCAGGCAAACUUAAGUGUUUGUCUUGUAACCUGUCAGGGGAAACAUUGAUGUCGGGGAGGGGGAAUUCUGUGAGUGAGUGGUCUGUGCUGGAUUUUAUAGCAUUAAGACUUCAUUAGCCUAGUGUGGCUUUAAAGUGUGCCUCUUCCUUUGGGUAAGAAUGAUUGACGUGUCACCAUAUUGAUCUUGAGUGAACGAUUAUUAGAAUAGUAUACAUUUUUGUUGUUUCUUAAUGAAGCACUUAGAAUUUGUUCUUUGGUCAUUCCAGGGGCAAGAUUCUGGCCAAGAGGAUCAAUGUGCGGAUUGAGCACAUUAAACACUCGAAGAGCAGAGACAGCUUCCUGAAGCGGGUGAAGGAGAACGAUCAGAAGAAAAAGGAAGCCAAAGAGAAGGGCACCUGGGUUCAGCUGAAGCGCCAGGUAAGAGUCCAGCUUGGUGGUAUUUAUUGUUAAUCUUGAGGAUCCUGUAAAACUUUGCUCACUUUGUUAAUAAGUUUUUAAGAAUUGAGUGUUCAUUAAUUCCAAAGAACAACUAAACUUUACCAUAAUUCCUUCUCUUUACCAGCCUGCACCACCCAGAGAAGCACACUUUGUGAGGACUAAUGGGAAAGAGCCUGAGCUGCUGGAGCCCAUUCCAUACGAAUUCAUGGCCUAGUGUAUAAAAGAAAUAAAGGACCCAACUGCAGAGUUUUUCCUUAGGUUCAAGUAUGGUAUCUUCUCGUUGUCUUUCUUUGUUUUGAGACAGGGUUUCUCUGUGUAGACCUGGCUGUCCUGGAACUCACUCUGUAGACCAGGCUGGCCUUGAAAUCAGAAAUCCGACUUUUUCUGCCUCCUGCCUCCCAAGUGCUGGGAUUAAAGGCGUAAACCACCGCUGUUUGGCUUCUCA